rnacentral:sRNA from 1 species
UUUUUUUUAUUUUGAUUUUACACGAUAAAAUAAUUAGUAAGUAAUUUUAAAAAAUAAUAUACUCGAAUUAAACCCCUAACCCUAGUUUUAUUUGUUUUUACUUUUAUAAUUUAUUUUAAUUUAUAUAUUGGUUUUUAUUUAUAUUUUUCCUUUUACUUUUAUAUUUUUUACCACUUUUACUUAAAUUCUUAUUCCUUUUAUUUUAUCCCGUUAAUAAAAUACUUUAUUAUUACCAAUUAGAACUAUAUUCAAAAAAGUUUUUCUUUCCUUUUUUUCUUUUUUAUUACUUUGUUUUUCCACCUAUUAUUUUUCUGCUAUUAUUUUAUAUAUUUAAAAUAAUUAGCAAAUAAAUUUGAGAUAAAAAUAAGUAUAAACCACGGAUUAAAAUCCUAAUUAAUAUAUCGAUUUACAGUACUUUUAUAUUUAAAAACCAUUGUGUUUUAUAUAUCGAAAAACCCCAUAUUUAAAAAAUUACGCCUUUUAUUAAUUUUUAAAUAAUAAGGCAGUUCCUACAUACGUACAAGACUUAUAUUUACUUAGGGAUAAUAAAAUAACAAUU